UACGUAGGGGGCAAGCGUUGUCCGGAAUCAUUGGGCGUAAAGCGCACGUAGGCGGAUCUUUAAGUCAGGGGUGAAAUCCUGGAGCUCAACUCCAGAACUGCCUUCGAUACUGGAAGACUUGAGUCCGGGAGAGGUGAGUGGAACUGCGAGUGUAGAGGUGAAAUUCGUAGAUAUUCGCAAGAACACCAGUGGCGAAGGCGGCUCACUGGCCCGGUACUGACGCUGAGGUGCGAAAGCGUGGGGAGCAAACAGG
rnacentral:rRNA from 1 species